CUAAUCUUUUUUAAUAUACUCUAGGAAGCAACUGAAUUAGCUAUAUACAUACCAAUCACCUUUCCAGAUUAUUUCUAGAUAAAUCAUAAUUCCAAUAUUCAAAAAUCAUCCCAUAAGAAUGUCUACUCCUACAGUAUUAACUCAAUUACUCAUCCCUAGCAAACUCUAAGAUCCUGAAAAUAAUAAUAAUAAUAAUAAUAAUAAUAAUAAUUUGAAUCAUCAACUAAGAAAAUAUUAGGUGUAUUAUAUAAAAAGAUUUUGUAUAUACAAAUUGUGCAUAAAUUCAAUUUUAAAAAAUUUGGUUUGUUUGUUUACUUAAUUUGUGUGCGUGUGUGUGUUUAAAAAAAAACGGUGUUCCUAUUUUUGUGUUUAUGUGUUUAUAAUUUAUUAUGUUUUCGUAUAAUUUAUUAUGUGUUCGUAUUUUGGUUUGUUUGUUUGUUUGCACUAUCACAAAUGUUCGCAAUUUUUUAGACUUAACCAACAAGAAAGAGGUCGGUAAUUUUGUGUUCGUAAUUUAUUGCACUGUAGAUCGGUAGAUCGGUCGACGCAACCAACAAGAAAGAGGUCGGUAUCCUCUUCAAAAUUUUCCUCCCUUUUCUACGCAUAUCUAAGGUUUCUCUCUUUGUUUUAUGUGUGUCUCUUUGUGCCUUUAGAGAUCGGUAUCUAAGGUUUCUUUGUUUUAUGUUCUGUAAAAUGCCUCAAAAUUUUUAUUUGGGUUUUCGUUGGGUGUCUAAUUUUUUAUGUGAUUUGUUUCUCAUUCGGGUUUGAUUGUGUGAUUUAUAUGAUUUAUGUGAUUUAUGUGAUUUAUAUUAUGUGAUUUUUAUGUGAUUUAUAUUAUGUGAACCUAUUGUGUGAUUUCUGGUAAAAUUUUAUGUGAACCUAUAUUAUGUGAACCUAUUAUGUGAUUUCUAAUUUACAAAAUGGGUUCAGAUUAUCAAGUAAAUUAAAUAAGGAAUGUUGAAAAAAAUUUGAUUGUGGAGUGAAUUAUUUUGUUGUUCCAAAUUUUAUACCGUUGGGUUUAGUGAUUGUGGAGUGGAUUUGAUUUUAUCUAUAAUUAAAUUUUAUUGUUCUUUAAUUCUGUAUUUGUGAAAGGAGAUUAUCUGAAGUACGGACCGAGCAUGGCAGAACUGAGCCUGGGUGUUCUUAUAGAUAUUAUUGAUGAGGAAUGGAUGCAAGACAGUCUUUCUGAUGAUGAUCUUGCAUUACCACCAGUGAUGAUUUCGCGAACUAACGACACUGAAGAGUCAAGCAUCAGAAUCUGGUGAGGAGAAUAGUUCUAAAGGCUCCAUCAAUAGAGGGAAUGGAAGGUGAGGGAGAGAUUAAUCGAAUGAUCAAACUUUUGGUUGAGGAAAAAGUUCCCAUUUGCUAAACUUUUGAACUGGGGUUGAAUGCUCUCAGUUGGAUCUCAGUUGUGAGUUUAUGAAAUCUUUCUUUUGAGAUUGUGGUUUGAAGAUUUUUGAAAUGAUGCUCCUUGCAUUACGGUGCCAAAGAUAUCCGUGAAGGUUAUCAAAGAAAGAGCAUUUUUCUUGGUCAGUAAAUCUCUCUUUUUCCCUCUAUAUGGAUGUGUCUCUGAAACAUUUUUUUUUAUAUAUAGUAGUUUCUCAUGUGAACCCCACGUGUUUGGAUGCAUAAAAUAUUUGCUAUAUAGAUUAAAAAAUAGAGAGGGUGUAUGGGUGUGGGAUGAGGGAGAGUAGAGAUAGAGGGAGGCAAAAAGUGCAAAUAAAUGAAUAAAAUGGUGUGAGGCAAAUUGCAUCUUGAAAAGUUAUCUACCUAUGUGCUGAAUUGCUGAUAAAAAAAAAAAAAAAAACCUAUGUGCUGAAUUCCAUGUCUCAAAAAGAUUGACAUUCUCAAUUUUAGAAAUUAAAUAUAUUUGCUGAAUCAUUAGUGCUUGAUGAUUUUUGCUUUUGCAACUAUUAAAGAUAAUGCUU